rnacentral:lncRNA from 1 species
CUUGCUUUUACGUAACGGCGUCGCCGCGCCGGAAGUGCUGUGUUUGAUCCAAGAGUUUGUGGUUUUGUGUUUGGCUCCGCUGAUGCUCUUUGGCCUUGGAUAAGCCUUGGGACCUCGAGUUUGUCAUUUGCAAAGUGGCCCGGUUCCCAUAGAGACGUUGUUGGAAUUCACCCAGCUAAAAACAGAAAACUUUUUUUCUUUUUCUUUAGGUUGAGGGGUAGGGAGGGCAGUAAGAUGAUAAUGUUAAAUCAGCUCUUCUCUACAUUUGGAACUCUGUGCAGGGAUGAAAACCAUCUUCAGAGGCUAGGAACUGAUUGCUGUGUUCGCCUUUGACCACCCAGCUCAUCUGUGACCACCCAGUUCGAGACAACAGACCUGCCACCCUGCUGUGUUCACCGAGACAGCAGAUCUACCUGCUGUGUCCAUCAAUCGCUGUGUCUGCAGAGCAAGCAGUCUUGCAACUAUUGUAAAAGGGACAUUUCAAUCCUAUGUGAAACAUCCUGUUUGGGGGUAUAUAACCACUCUGUACAACCCACUUCUUUGGUGCCUUUUCUUCCUUUGGGAAGAAAGGCCCCGAGCCAUGGUCCUCACAUUUUAGCUCAGAAUAAAC